ACGGGUGAGUAACGCGUGGGAACAUACCCUUUUCUACGGAAUAGCACUGGGAAACUGGAAUUAAUACCGUAUACGCCCUACGGGGGAAAGAUUUAUCGGGGAAGGAUUGGCCCGCGUUGGAUUAGCUAGUUGGUGGGGUAAAGGCCUACCAAGGCGACGAUCCAUAGCUGGUCUGAGAGGAUGAUCAGCCACAUUGGGACUGAGACACGGCCCAAACUCCUACGGGAGGCAGCAGUGGGGAAUAUUGGACAAUGGGCGCAAGCCUGAUCCAGCCAUGCCGCGUGAGUGAUGAAGGCCUUAGGGUUGUAAAGCUCUUUCACCGAUGAAGAUAAUGACGGUAGUCGGAGAAGAAGCCCCGGCUAACUUCGUGCCAGCAGCCGCGGUAAUACGAAGGGGGCUAGCGUUGUUCGGAAUUACUGGGCGUAAAGCGCACGUAGGCGGAUAUUUAAGUCAGGGGUGAAAUCCCAGAGCUCAACUCUGGAACUGCCUUUGAUACUGGGUAUCUUGAGUAUGGAAGAGGUAAGUGGAAUUGCGAGUGUAGAGGUGAAAUUCGUAGA
rnacentral:rRNA from 1 species